rnacentral:rRNA from 1 species
UUUUUGCAUGAAAGUAAUAUAAAAGGAAGCGUUUGCUUCGCUAAAAGAUCGGAGUGCGCAACAUUAGCUAGUUGGUGAGGUAACGGCCCACCAAGGCGAUGAUGUUUAGCGGGGUUGAGAGAUUGAUCCGCCACACUGGGACUGAGAUACGGCCCAGACUCCUACGGGAGGCAGCAGUAGGGAAUAUUCCACAAUGGACGAAAGUCUGAUGGAGCGACACAGCGUGCAGGGAUGGGGCCCUAUGGGUUGUAAACUGCUGUGGU